rnacentral:rRNA from 1 species
GAUGAACGCUGGCGGCGUGCCUAAUACAUGCCAGUAGAACGCUGAAGGAGGAGCUUGCUUCUCCGGAUGAGUUGCGAACGGGUGAGUAACGCGUAGGUAACCUGCCUGGUAGCGGGGGAUAACUAUUGGAAACGAUAGCUAAUACCGCAUAACAGUAGAUAUCGCAUGAUAUCUGCUUGAAAGGUGCAAUUGCAUCACUACCAGAUGGACCUGCGUUGUAUUAGCUAGUUGGUGAGGUAACGGCUCACCAAGGCGACGAUGCAUAGCCGACCUGAGAGGGUGGUCGGCCACACUGGGAGGGAGACACGGCCCAGACGCCCACGGGAGGCAGCAGUAGGGCAUCGUCGGCAAUGGACGGAAGUCUGAGCGAGCAACGCCGCGGGAGUGAAGAAGGUUGUCGGAUCGUAAAGCUCGGUUGUAAGGGAAGAACGAGUGUGAGAGUGGAAAGUUCACACUGUGACGGUAUCUGACCAGAAAGGGACGGCUAACUACGUG